rnacentral:RNase_P_RNA from 1 species
GGAGUUGGCCAGGCAAUCGCUCGACUCGCUUCGGUGAUCGGGAGGAAAGUCCGGGCUCCACAGGGCAAGGCGCCAGGUAACACCUGGGAGGCGUGAGCCUACGGAAAGUGCAACAGAAAAUAUACCGCCACGCUGCUCGACAGCGGGGUAAGGGUGAAAUGGUGCGGUAAGAGCGCACCGCGCUGGCGGUAACGCGCAGCGGCAGUGUAAACCCCGCCUGGAGCAAGACCAAAUAGGAACCCGCGUUGUGGCCCGCAACUGGGUUCGGGUAGGUCGCUAGAGCCACAUGGUGACAUGUGGCCCAGAUGAAUGAUUGCCCACGACAGAACCCGGCUUAUCGGCCAACUCCCUGU